ACCAACAUCAGUGACUGAUGGAUGGAUGAAGCCCAGCAUGGGCAACUUUUCUGAAAAUGCUGUAGUCAGUGCUACAAGGACACCUCCUCCAGAACCACCAAAGAACCAGAAA